UUUCAGUGAUGAGUCUAACUAGCUCACUAUGAUUUACAUAAAAAUGAAAAGGCUUGAACAUCUGAGAAAC